rnacentral:ncRNA from 1 species
CCGGAUUAAUACCGCAUAACAAAUUGACUGGCAUCGGUUGAUUUUAAAAGAUUUAUCGGAUAGAGAUGGGCAUGCGUAAGAUUAGAUAGUUGGCGAGGUAACGGCUCACCAAGUCUACGAUCUUUAGGGGCUCUGAGAGGAGAAUCCCCCACACUGGCACUGAGAUACGGGCCAGACUCCUACGGGAGGCAGCAGUAGGGAAUAUUGGGCAAUGGACGAAGUCUGACCCAGCCACGCCGCGUGCAGGAAGACGGCCCUCUGGGUUGUAAACUGCUUUUGACUGGGAAGAAAAGACCCUGCGAGGAAAGUUGACGGUACCAGCAGAAUAAGCCACGGCUAACUACGUGCCAGCAGCCGCGGUAAUACGUAGGUGGCGAGCGUUAUCCGGAUUUAUUGGGUUUAAAGGGUGCGUAGGCGGCUGAUUAAGUCGGUGGUGAAAGGUAGCAGCUUAACUGUUUUACAUGCCACCGAUACUGUUGAGCUUGAGAUAUGUGGAGGCAGAUGGAAUUUCCGGUGUAGCGGUGAAAUGCAUAGAUACCGGAAGGAACUCCUAUUGCGAAGGCAAUCUGCUACAGAUAAACUGACGCUGAUGCACGAAAGCGUGGGGAUC